UUAUCUCCCUUGAGGUGAGGAAUACCGGCGAGAAAUCGCCGACAAGACCGCAUACGAUUGGCAACAAUCAAAGUUUUGCUUCGCGAGAAGUGAGACGCCACAAGAUGAGCUCGCGCCCGAUUAGCUGGUUGGUGGGGUAAUGGCCUACCAAGGCGACCAUCGGUAGCUGGUCUGAGAGGAUGAUCAGCCACACUGGGAUUGAGAACGGCCCAG
rnacentral:rRNA from 1 species